GACGAACGCUGGCGGCGUGCUUAACACAUGCAAGUCGAACGGAAAGGCCCUGCUUGCAGGGUACUCGAGUGGCGAACGGGUGAGUAACACGUGGGUGAUCUGCCCUGCACUUCGGGAUAAGCUUGGGAAACUGGGUCUAAUACCGGAUAGGACCGCACUUUAGUGUGUGUGGUGGACAGUUUUUGCGGUGUAGGAUGAGCCCGCGGCCUAUCAGCUUGUUGGUGGGGUAAUGGCCUACCAAGGCGGCGACGGGUAGCCGGCCUGAGAGGGUGUACGGCCACACUGAGACUGAGAGGCGGCCCAGACGCCUACGGGAGGCAGCAGGGGGGAAGAUUGCACAAUGGGCGCAAGCCGGGUGCAGAGAGGCUGCGGGGGGGAUGAAGGCCUUCGGGUUGUAAACGCCUUGCGCUAGGGACGAAGCUUUUUGUGACGGUACCUAGAGAAGAAGCACCGGCUAACUACGUG
rnacentral:rRNA from 1 species